GACGAACGCUGGCGGCGUGCUUAACACAUGCAAGUCGAACGGUAAGGCCCUUCGGGGUACACGAGUGGCGAACGGGUGAGUAACACGUGGGUGAUCUGCCCUGCACUUCGGGAUAAGCCUGGGAAACUGGGUCUAAUACCGGAUAGGACCACUGCCUGCAUGGGUGGUGGGGGAAAGCUUUUGCGGUGUGGGAUGGGCCCGCGGCCUAUCAGCUUGUUGGUGGGGUGAUGGCCUACCAAGGCGACGACGGGUAGCCGGCCUGAGAGGGUGACCGGCCACACUGGGACUGAGAUAUGGCCCAGACUCCUACGGGAGGCAGCAGUGGGGAAUAUUGCACAAUGGGCGCAAGCCUGAUGCAGCGACGCCGCGUGAGGGAUGACGGCCUUCGGGUUGUAAACCUCUUUCAGCACCGACGAAGCGCAAGUGACGGUAGGUGCAGAAGAAGGACCGGCCAACUACGUGCCAGCAGUCGCAGUAA
rnacentral:rRNA from 1 species